rnacentral:rRNA from 1 species
UACGUAGGGGGCAAGCGUUGUCCGGAUUUAUUGGGCGUAAAGAGCGUGUAGGCGGCCAUACAGGUCCGUUGUGAAAACUGGAGGCUUAACCUCCAGACGUCGAUGGAAACCGUAUGGCUAGAGUCCGGAAGAGGAGAGUGGAAUUCCUGGUGUAGCGGUGAAGUGCGCAGAUAUCAGGAGGAACACCGAUGGCGAAGGCAGCUCGCUGGGACGGUACUGACGCUGAGGCGCGAAAGCGUGGGGAGCAAACAGG